rnacentral:rRNA from 1 species
GUCUGCAACCCGACUCCAUGAAGCUGGAUUCGCUAGUAAUCGCGCAUCAGCCACGGCGCGGUGAAUACGUUCCCGGGCCUUGUACACACCGCCCGUCAAGCCAUGAAAGCCGGGGGUACCUGAAGUGCGUAACCGCGAGGAGCGCCCUAGGGUAAAACUGGUGAUUGGGGCUAAGUCGUAACAAGGUACC